rnacentral:rRNA from 1 species
CUCGUAGGUGGCCAACUAAGUCAGACGUGAAAUCCCUCGGCUUAACCGGGGAACUGCGUCUGAUACUGGAUGGCUUGAGUUUGGGAGAGGGACGCGGAAUUCCAGGUGUAGCGGUGAAAUGCGUAGAUAUCUGGAGGAACACCGGUGGCGAAGGCGGCGUCCUGGACCAACACUGACACUGAUGAGCGAAAGCCAGGGGGAGCAAACG